rnacentral:rRNA from 1 species
CGUUCGGAAUGGAUAACCGCUGAAAGCAUCUAAGCGGGAAGCCAUCCUCAAGAUUAGAUAUCCCUUCCGGUGGAGACACCGGAACUAAAGACCCAUCGAAGACUACGAUGUUGAUAGGCCGGAUGUGUAAGCGUAGUAAUACGUUCAGCUUACCGGUACUAAUCGGUCGUGCGGCUUGGCCAU